rfam:Oryza glumipatula chromosome 8, whole genome shotgun sequence.
UUCAAACAAGUGAAACUUUGAUCGUCCGUAUUAUUUGAAAUUUUUCAUAAUUAUUAUUUUUAUUAUUAUGAGAUAAUAAAACUUGAAUAGUUCUUUAUACGUGACAUAUGUUUUUAAAUUUUUCAAAACAAUUUCAAAUAAGACGGAUGGUCAAAGUUGUGCACGGAAAAUCAUAGCUGCACUUCAA